UUCAUUGGUUUUGCUGGUUACGCAUUGAACAAAAAGUUGGAUAAAAACAGGGACUCUAUCGACGGGCAAAUGUUGCUGAUGUGAUGUAUUCAGCUGAGAGAGAGAGGGGAAAUUACAGCUUAAAUUUGCUCAUUACACAAUGAAUGAAGAGAAUUAUUAAUGGACAAUAGUGGGUCUCUUUUGGCUGGAAAAUGACUAAAAUUGUGAUGUACUCAGCUUUUAUAUAUAUAUAGAUAUAGAUUCUAUUGC
rnacentral:lncRNA from 1 species